GUCACCAAAUUUCCAAAAUCGGAAAACCAAUUUCUCCAUAAAGAACAUUAACAAAGCUAAUGAAAGACACAAAAUAAUUAAAAGCAUAGUAGAAGUGAUAAAAUAGAUCUAACACCAAAGACAAUCUUAGUAUGACAGGACAUUUCCCUAACACCAAAGACAAUCUCAGUGUCAGCCAACUUUUUGAUAGUGUUGCACUAAAGAUUACAUCUAUAGCCCCUUCAAUACAUAUAAAUGUUUAUGUCAAGAAAAAUAAAUGCAGCAUCAUUCAAAUGAGACAGCAGCUAUGAAUACUCAUAACCAAAAACAACAUGCAAUAUGCUAAUAAAAUAAAUAAACCACAACACAUAAAACCACAAGAUAUACACAGCUAUUGUAUGUUCUUCACAAGCAAGCAUUUAUAAUUAGAAUGUGGAAUUUAUAAACCAUAACCAAAUACGAAAUCAAAAUCGAUACCUUCUUUGUGCUUUCCCCUAUGUAGUUCAAGACUAUGAGUUUCAGUAGAUCCAAGUCUUCUCUUUUUUGACUUAUUUAUAUUCUUUCCAUCUACAAAGGUAAAGAUUCAAAUCAACAGAUCAAAUAUAAAUCAACAUGUAUAACAUUCAAAGGAACAAAUAAUGUUAUGCUUCAGCAUUUUUAAUAGUUGUACUUGAAACUUUCAACAGAUUAUUAAGAAUUUAAUAGUUCAAAUAAUAUUAGUUCACAUCAAGAGCAUAACUUAGUAUUCUUCCUAAAGGUCAAAGGAUUUCUCACCCUCGUUAUGUUCACCACAAUUAAUUAUUUUAACAGUUACGCUUGGAAGUCCUUCUUCAUCACCCACAUUAAACAACAUGUACUUUCUCUCAAGUACAUUAUUUCUACAUCUCUGCAUAUGAGCUUAACGAAAAUGAAUAUUCUGAAUGAAACAUACAAAGCACACCCUCUUACCCUUGGUGAUAUGGUAAAGGAAACCAUUCACCUCAAUAGAUGUUGGCUCCAGCCCUUCCUUUUGACCUUGACUAGAGAAGGUUUUCUCCCACACCAUAACUUUGUGGGUUUCCUUCAAAGAAUCACACUGCCCUCAUCAGCCCUAACCAAGUCAUCACUGAAAGAAUAUGAACUGGAUAAAAAUCAAAUUUAUAGGUUAGAGAAUCUACCCUUAUCCAACAGCAGCAAAUCAAAUCAAAUCUUCUUAAACAAUUAAAACUCCCACAAAAUCAAAAAGAAAAUCAAUUGUUAAUCCACUGGGUUCAUCCAGAUGAAUACACCCUCAUGUGCAUCGCUUUCCAAUUUUAUUUAUCCCUUUUGAAAGCGAAAGGGAAAAACAUUUGUAUCGUUGGGUUGGGUUGAGUGAUAUACCUUUCUUCUCACUAAAGGAGAAAUGUUCUCAGAAUAUUCAACGAUGGUGGUAGAGCCUUCGAUAGUUCGACGACGGUAGAGUGCGGCAAAGUCUUCGACAACGACAAGCCUUCGACAGCGACGAGCCUUCAACGGUGGCGAGCCUGCCACGGUGGCGAAUCUUCCAUGGCGGCGAGCCUUAAGGGCGACGAGCCUUCGUAGAAGGCGCAAGCCUUUGACGAUACUGAGAAAGGAAUGUAAUGAGGCAGGGAGAAAAUUUCGAUCGCAAAUAUGAAACCUAAACCACAGUACAUUACAGUUAACUGCAUUAAAAAUGAAAUAAGUUCAGUAUACUUAAACUGAAUUAUUAAACAGUUAACAAUGUUUUAGUAAAAAUAGUUUAAGUUUUUUAAGUAUAAAAGAGUACAGAUAAACUAUAGUUUAGAGUUUUUAAGUAAACUGUGCCCAGCCCUAACUAUAAGUCCUUGAAGUCCUUUUUCUUCUUCCAUUCUCGAAGUCUCGAAGUCUUGGUUUAAGUUGUAGCUCCCUAAAUGAAUCUCUAUCAAGCUCCUUGGAUGUGUUUCCAUCGGGAAGUUAUUUUGUAGAGGUUAUAAAAAACUAUUAAUUACUAAUAUUUGUGUGGGCUUUAAUUCAUUUUUGAAGAUUAUUAACACCUCCACAAAUCAUGUUAAAGUUUUUUGGUUCCAACCUUUUCUUAUAGGCUCAAACAUUUUCAAAUUUUCAUUGUUUUCCUUAAAUUUCCCAAACCUAAGAGCAACACGUUUCAAAUAUCACUAAAUUUCACUUUGCGUUCUGAUUCAUGAAACCUGUGUUGCCCCAAAUUUCACUUCACAGUUUGAUUUAUCAAACUUGCUUUGCGUUUUGAGUUCAAAGUGCUCGUCUCCGUCAUGGCUCGUUUGUCAGGGUUCACCAAAUGCGGUUACUGACCAAGGUUCAACAAAUCAGUGUGUUCGGUAUCUUGGGUUCAAUAAACUAGUGUGUUAGCUAGUCUGGUUUAGAAAACUAAUGCGCAAGCCAGACCUAGGUUCAACAAACCAGUGAACUCAUUGACCUAGGUUUUGUAAACUAGUGUCCAAGCCCAGCCUAGGUUCAGCAAACAUGUGUGCAAGCUUGACCUACUUGAGGAAAUCACUGUGCACUUCCUUCACUAAUGUGGUGCCUUAAGUUUUUAGAUUGGCUCCAUCAGUGAUUCAUUGGUUUACCAAUUCAUUCACCAAUAAUCAUGAGUUUUGCUUUGUGAUGUGGUUUUUCUUAGAAAGGGCGAGCGAGGUUUGCAAGAAAUGGCAACAAUGGGUGAAUGAGUCUCUAGCAUGCAAAGAGAGUAUCAACUUUGCCGGUUGGAAAAUGGAUUAUGACUCCACUGCUCGUUUUGUUUGUCAUGCCUACAAUCUCACAAAACUUCACAUGUAUGUGUACAUAAUACAUACCUUUCUUUCUUUUCAUACCCUCACUUCUAUUUUAUCCCAUGUUAUUCUUAUAUUGUUCUUCUGUUUUGUACUUUGGCUUUCCUCUUUGUUGAUUACAAGAAGGGUGAAGUAUUUUUUAUAGCUUCCCUUUGAUGGUGUUCCUUAAACAUCAAAGUGAACAUUAAGUAUUGAUAUUUAAAGCUUUGGAGAUGGAUUAUAAAUUUGAGUCUCAACCAUUCAAUGGAAAUUAUUUGUGAUAUUUUAGGUUCGAGAGGUAACUAAUGAUAAGUGUGAAAAAUAAUUAUACAUCAUUUGAAGUGUUGUCACAUGUUGCUCGCUAAGCUAAUUAAUCAUGUGCUCAGAUACAAGGGAGAUUAUUCGCUCAGCGCACCAGCACAACUCACUGAGCGAAUUAAGUUUCAGAUAAAAGCUUUGAAGUUUUACAGAAGAGAAAAACGCUCCAAGAAACAAGAAUUGUCGUGGUGUACAAGUCUUCAAGAUUUCUUGAGGAGCAAGAUAGAUUGAUUUGUAAAGUCUGAUCGUUCUGCACAAAUGAGGUGCAUACUGCUGGAUCAGGAGCUCUUGCAAAGACUUAAUUUUGUUGUUUCCCUGUGGUGUAUACAGGAAGAAGAACAUGGUUCUUGACUUUGAGGGGGAUCUCAAAAGGUUGACUACAAGAGAGGAUUGUUCUUGUUGCUAGUUUGUUUGUAUUUGCCUAUAUUAGAUUAGUGAGUUAGAGAGGUGAUUUACAUUUUGACAUUGUGGUCGUUGCAAAGCCCUUGUUGUAAAAACUCAAAUCUCUAUAGUGCAUUGGCUUCCAAUCUCGGGUUGAAUGGAAGGACACUGGAUGUAGCAGUGGCCGAACCAGUAUAAAAAUCAGCGUUUGAAUUC